ACACGUAGGUGACCUGCCCCGGAGAUGGGUAUAGCCCGCAGAGAUGCGGGGUAAUACCCGAUACGCUCGUUGGCAUAGAGGCCAACGAGGAAAGGCGCAAGCCGCUCUGGGAUGGGCCUGCGGCCCAUUAGCUUGUUGGUGAGGUAAUGGCUCACCAAGGCGACGAUGGGUAGCUGGUCUGAGAGGAUGUCCAGCCACACUGGGACUGAGACAUGGUCCAGACUCCUACGGGAGUUAGCAUCGGGGGAUAUUGCGCAAUGGGCGAAAGCCCGACGCAGUGACGCCGCGUGCAGGAUGAAGGCCCUAGGGUCGUAAACUGCUGUCGGGUGGGAUGAACGCCGGGGGUGACGCCUCGGUUUGACAGUACCACCCAAGAGAGCCCCAGGUAACUACGUGCCAGCAGCUGCGGUAAUACGUAGGGGGCAAGCGUUGUCCGGAAUUACUGGGCGUAAAGGGCGUAUAGGCGGGCUUAGUAAGCGGAAUUGUGAAGCCCAGGGCUCAACCCUGGAACGCAGUUCCGAACUACUAAGCUUUGAGUUCGGGAGAGGGCAGUGGAAUUCCCGGUGUAGCGGUGAAAUG
rnacentral:rRNA from 1 species